rnacentral:rRNA from 1 species
AUUAAUAAGCGGAGGAAAAGAAAAUAACCAUGAUUCCCUCAGUAACGGCGAGCGAAGCGGGAAUAGCCCAGACCAAAAUCUGUGGGUCUCUGGCCCACCAGAACUGUGGUCUUUGCGCCGGGGAUAUGCCAGCGGCACGGACCUUCUCAAGUUCCUUGGAAAGGGGCCUCCCAGAGAGGGUGCUAGGCCUGUAGGUGGGGGGUUCGUUCGUUGGCGCUUCAACGGCAUUAGAGUCGGGUUGUUUGGGAAUGCAGCCCUAAGUCGGUGGUAUGCUCCAUCUAAGGCUAAAUACCAGCACGAGUCCGAUAGCGAACAAGUACCGUGAGGGAAAGUU